UACGAAGGGGCGAGCGUUGUUCGGAAUUACUGGGCGUAAAGCGCACGUAGGCGGCUUUUUAAGUCAGGGGUGAAAUCCUGGAGCUCAACGUCCAGAACCUGCCUUUGAUACUGGCGACCUUGAGUCCGGGAGAGGUGAGUGGAACUGCGAGUGUAGAGGUGAAAUUCGUAGAUAUUCGCAAGAACACCAGUGGCGAAGGCGGCUCACUGGCCCGGUACUGACGCUGAGGUGCGAAAGCGUGGGGAGCCAAACAGG
rnacentral:rRNA from 1 species